rnacentral:rRNA from 1 species
GACGAACGCUGGCGGCGUGCUUAACACAUGCAAGUCGAACGAAGUGGCGAACGGGUGAGUAACGCGUAAUCAACCUGCCCUUCAGAGGGGGACAACAGUUGGAAACGACUGCUAAUACCGCAUACUGAAGGAGGGGAUUGCGUCGGAUUAGCUUGUUGGGGGGGUAACGGCCCACCAAGGCGAUGAGCGGUAGCCGGGUUGGGAGGAUGAACGGCCACAAUGGGACUGGGAAACGGCCCAGACUCCCUCGGGAGGCAGGCGUGGGGAAUCUUCCGAAAUGGACGAAAGUCUGGCGGAGCAACGCCGCGUGAGUGAUGGCGGCCUUCGGGGUGUAAAGCUCUGUUAAUCGGGACGCGGUACCGGAAUAGAAAGCCACGGCUAACUACGUGCCAGCAGCCGCGGUAAUAC